rnacentral:hammerhead_ribozyme from 1 species
AUCCAGCUGACGAGUUCCAAAUGGAACUAAACGUAUGUGCUGGAU